GAUGAACGCUGGCGGCGUGCCUAAUACAUGCAAGUCGAGCGAACAGAUGAGGAGCUUGCUCCUCUGACGUUAGCGGCGGACGGGUGAGUAACACGUGGAUAACCUACCUAUACGACUGGGAUAACUUCGGGAAACCGGAGAUAAUACCGGAUAAUAUAUUGAACCGCAUGGUUCAAUAGUGAAAGACGGUUUUGCUGUCACUUAUAGAUGGAUCCGCGCCGCAUUAGCUAGUUGGUAAGGUAACGGCUUACCAAGGCAACGAUGCGUAGCCGACCUGAGAGGGUGUUCGGCCACACUGGAACUGAGACACGGUCCAGACUCCUACGGGAGGCAGCGGUAGGGAAUCUUCCGCAAUGGGCGAAAGCUUGACGGAGCAACGCCGCGUGAGUGAUGAAGUUCUUCGGAUCGUAAAACUCUGUUAUUAGGGAAGAACAAAUGUGUAAGUAACUAUGCACGUCUUGACGGUACCUAAUCAGAAAGCCACGGCUAACUACGUG
rnacentral:rRNA from 1 species